AUUGAACGCUGGCGGCAUGCUUUACACAUGCAAGUCGAACGGCAGCACGGGUGCUUGCACCUGGUGGCGAGUGGCGAACGGGUGAGUAAUGCAUCGGAACGUGCCCAUGAGUGGGGGAUAGCCCGGCGAAAGCCGGAUUAAUACCGCAUACGCCCUUAGGGGGAAAGCGGGGGAUCUUCGGACCUCGCGCUAUUGGAGCGGCCGAUGUCGGAUUAGCUAGUAGGUGAGGUAAAGGCUCACCUAGGCGACGAUCCGUAGCUGGUCUGAGAGGAUGAUCAGCCACACUGGGACUGAGACACGGCCCAGACUCCUACGGGAGGCAGCAGUGGGGAAUUUUGGACAAUGGGCGCAAGCCUGAUCCAGCCAUGCCGCGUGAGUGAAGAAGGCCUCGGUUGUAA
rnacentral:rRNA from 1 species